ACGUAGUGGUCUAAUACCGGAUAGGACCAUGCUUUAGUGUGUGUGGUGGAAAGUUUUUUCGGUGUAGGAUGAGCCCGCGGCCUAUCAGCUUGUUGGUGGGGUAAUGGCCUACCAAGGCGGCGACGGGUAGCCGGACUGAGAGGUUGGUCGGCCACAUUGGGACUGAGAUACGGCCCAG
rnacentral:rRNA from 1 species